UGUAGUGAGGAUACGUUCCCUUCCUUCAGAAAAGAUUACACAUGGAAAUCAUCAAUUCCUCAAGGAGAGACGCACCCUGGGUACAGAGGAUGGACUGCACCUCACAAGACAAGUCCACGUGCUGCUGCCGAAGAGACACCAAUUCCGCUGGGCGCGAAUGGAUUCCAGUAGCGCGUCUGUCAUCGGUCACUUAUGACCACAAUUUUCAUUAUUGUCUGGAUAUCUGCAAGGAAUAUACAACCUUCUGCACAGAGUUGAUGGUCAAAAGCUGUGUCUGUCAGCACCACAGAGCAUCGAGAGGGUGGUUUCUAUCUUUGGUUUUCUAGCUGUAUGAGUGUACAGAACCUUUCAUAAAGCUAGAUAACCGAAAGUAGGAAUGAUUCUCAAAGUCGCUUUAUUCUACUGGAAAUGCAGCUGACGAAAAUAUUCUGCGCUCAAGGCUCAUCCAAGUUGUGCUAACCGUAGGAAGAGUCUGGCUGUGGCUAUUGGAGAGAUGGAAGAAGCACACGUCUGUCCUCGGCUCUCCCCUCCUUACCCACAAAAGCAUGGGUGCCAUCUGAGAGAGGAGAGAUGCCAUGCCAGUGCCACAGCGGGAGAUACAGCCCGCCAGUCUUCGGGCAUAGGGGUGCGGGCAAGGAGGCCAUCUUAUCUGGGCACGUCUCUGCAGCGUCUAAGAUGGCUGAGCUGGCAUCCGAGGUGUUUUCCAUGGGACUGAAACAUGAUAUUUGAAGAUGGACUGGGAAUGCUGGCCCUGUAAUGGUGGAAAGGAUGGACUUGGCAGGAGUUGGCAUGAAGUCUGUGUGUGAACAGGCAAGAUGAGACUACAAAGUGGUCUCAGCUGCCCUCUCAACCACCACAAGAUCUGGAAACUGUGUUUUGUCAAAUAACUAGCAGUUGUUUGUCUUGAAAUUCUACGUUACUGUAUAAAUUGAGCAUGUUUUAUGUUAUGAUUUCUAUAA